GAUGAACGCUGACAGAAUGCUUAACACAUGCAAGUCUACUUGAAGUAACUUCGGUUAUGGAUGGUGGCGGAUGGGUGAGUAACGCGUAAAUAACUUGCCCCCUAGUCUGGGACAACUGUUGGAAACGACAGCUAAUACUAGAUGUUAUGAGACCUUGGCAUCAAGGACUUAUGAAAGCUAUAUGCGCUAGGGGAGAGAUUUGCGUCCUAUUAGCUAGUUGGUGAGGUAAUGGCUCACCAAGGCGACGAUAGGUAGCCGGCCUGAGAGGGUGAACGGCCACAAGGGGACUGAGACACGGCCCUUACUCCUACGGGAGGCAGCAGUGGGGAAUAUUGGACAAUGGACCAAAAGUCUGAUCCAGCAAUUCUGUGUGCUUGAUGAAGGCCUCGGUUGUAAGUAGACGUUAAGUAGGUAAGGAAGAAAGUA
rnacentral:rRNA from 1 species